rnacentral:tRNA from 1 species
GGCGACGUAGCCAAGUGGUUAAGGCAGGGGUCUGCAAAAUCCCGAUCGUCGGUUCGAUUCCGACCGUCGCCU